rnacentral:rRNA from 1 species
CAUUACCGAGUGCGGGUUCGAACGAGCCCAACCUCCCACCCGUGUUUACUGUUACCGCGUUGCCUCGGCGGGCCCACUGGGGCCUGGCCCCGGUCGCCGGGGGGCUUCUGCCCCCGGGCCCGCUCCCGCCGAAGCACCCUAGAACCCUGCCUGAACAGUGAGUCUGAGUGAGAUUUUAAAUCAUUAAAACUUUCAACAACGGAUCUCUUGGUUCCGGCAUCGAUGAAGAACGCAGCGAAAUGCGAUAAGUAAUGUGAAUUGCAGAAUUCCGUGAAUCAUCGAAUCUUUGAACGCACAUUGCGCCCCCUGGCAUUCCGGGGGGCAUGCCUGUCCGAGCGUCAUUUCUGCCCUCCAGCACGGUGGGCUUUUGGGCGCUGUCCCCCCGGGGACACGCCCCAAAAGCAGUGGCGGCGCCGCGUCGGGUCCUCGAGCGUAUGGGGCUCUGUCACCCGCUCGGGAGGGACUCGGUCGGCGCUGGUCUUCCCUUUAGGCCGCCCUUCGGGGUGCGCCUCUUCCGGUUGACCUCGGAUCAGGUAGGGCUACCCGCUGAACUUAAGCAUAUCAAUAAGCGGA